GUGUAAGUUAAGUGGAAAAGGAUGUGGGAUUUCUAAGACAACUAGGAUGUUGGCUCAGAAGCAGCCACUCAUUUAAAGAGUGCGUAAUAGCUCACUAGUCGAGAGGUCCUGCGCCGAAGAUGUCCGGGGCUAAAACUUACCACCGAAGCUAUGGACUCGAAAGAGUGGUAGAGGAGCUUCCUGCAUGGGUUGAAGUCGCACCGUAAGGAGCGGUGGACUGUGCAGGAGUGAGAAUGUUGGCAUAAGUAGCGAGAAAUAAGUGAGAAUCUUAUUGGUCGAAAACCUAAGGUUUCCUGAGGAAGGUUCGUCCGCUCAGGGUUAGUCGGGACCUAAGCCCAGGCCGAAAGGCGUAGGCGAUGGACAAUCGGUUGAUAUUCCGAUACCGCAAAUUUGCGUUUGACAAACGGGAUGACGCAGGAGGAUAGGAUGUGCACACUAUUGGAUGUGUGUCUAAGCACUUAGGCAGGCUGGAUUGGAAAAUCCGUUCAGUCAAUGCUGAGGUGUUACAGGGAUCCCUUUCGGGAGAAGUAUCUGAUUCCACGCUGCCAAGAAAAGUCUCUAUGGAGUAAGUUUGUGCCCGUACCGCAAACCGACACAGGUAGGUGAGGAGAGAAUCCUAAGACCAUCGGAAGAAUUGUUGUUAAGGAACUAGGCAAAUUAACUCCGUAACUUAGGGAUAAGGAGUGCCCCGAAAGGGGCCGCAGAGAAUAGGCUCAAGCAACUGUUUAUCAAAAACACAGGUCUCUGCUAAAGCGAAAGCUGAAGUAUAGGGGCUGACGCCUGCCCGGUGCUGGAAGGUUAAGGGGAAUACUUAGCGCAAGCGAAGGUAUGAACUUAAGCCCCAGUAAACGGCGGCCGUAACUAUAACGGUCCUAAGGUAGCGAAAUUCCUUGUCGGGUAAGUUCCGACCCGCACGAAUGGCGUAAUGAUUUGAGCACUGUCUCGACAACAAAUCCGGCGAAAUUGUAGUGCAAGUGAAGAUGCUUGCUACCCGCGAUUGGACGGAAAGACCCCGUAGAGCUUUACUGCAGUUUAGCAUUGAGUUUCGGUAUUGUCUGUACAGGAUAGGUGGGAGACUUGGAUAUUAGGGCGCCAGCCCUUUUGGAGUCGCCCUUGGGAUACCACCCUGACAGUACUGGAAUUCUAACCGGCGGCCAUGAAACUGGUCACGGGACAUUGUUAGGCAGGCAGUUUGACUGGGGCGGUCGCCUCCUAAAAUGUAACGGAGGCGCCCAAAGGUUCCCUCAGAAGGGUCGGAAAUCCUUCGAAGAGUGCAAAGGCAUAAGGGAGCCUGACUGCGACACAUACAGGUGGAGCAGGGACGAAAGUCGGGCUUAGUGAUCCGGUGGUACCUCGUGGGAGGGCCAUCGCUCAACGGAUAAAAGCUACCUCGGGGAUAACAGGCUGAUCUCCCCCAAGAGUCCACAUCGACGGGGAGGUUUGGCACCUCGAUGUCGGCUCGUCGCAUCCUGGGGCUGAAGUAGGUCCCAAGGGUUGGGCUGUUCGCCCAUUAAAGCGGCACGCGAGCUGGGUUCAGAACGUCGUGAGACAGUUCGGUCCCUAUCCGUCGCGGGCGCAGGAAAUUUGAGAGGAGCUGUCCUUAGUACGAGAGGACCGGGAUGGACUGACCUCUGGUGUACCAGUUGUUCCGCCAGGAGCAUGGCUGGGUAGCUAUGUCGGGAAGGGAUAAACGCUGAAAGCAUCUAAGCGUGAAGCCCACCUCAAGAUUAGAUUUCCCACAGCGUAAGCUGGUAAGGCCCCUUGAAGAACACAAGGUGAUAGGUCAGAGGUGUAAGCAUGGCAACAUGUUCAGCUGACUGAUACUAAUAGGCCGAGGGCUUGACCA
rnacentral:rRNA from 1 species